rnacentral:snRNA from 1 species
GGAUGUGAGGGCGAUCUGGCUGCGACAUCUGUCACCCCAUUGAUCGCCAGGGUUGAUUCGGCUGAUCUGGUUGGCUAGGUGGGUGUCCCCUACUUCCCUCACCGCUCCAUAUGCGUCCUCCCGAAGAAGCUGCGUGCUCAGUUGAAGAGGAUGGUCUUCCCCGAAUAGAGACGGAUCGGUCUUUGGUCGAGGGUAUAUGAGUAGCUGCGCUCCCCUGCUAGAACCUCCAAACAAGCUCUCAAGGAAAUCACAGCCCAAAGAAUGUGUGUGUGUGUGUGUGUGUGUGUGUGUGUGUGUGUGGCAAGUGGAUAGGU